CCUUUCCUUUCUUCCUGCUUGGGACACAUUACCUGCAGAAGGAGACCACAGAGAUGAUCUGACUAAAGUAAUCUUCUGUGCUUCUGGAACGAGUCUAAAAGCAGCAAUAGCAAGUACUUUAAAGCUCCUUAUUGAAGUGACCUUGCUGCACAUUAGGAUGUACCAAAAGAGAUGGACUAAAGCAAUCGGAUGGCUACAGCCUUUCAGGUAGAAGAGAAUCCAUAACAAGAUAAAAAAAGAGAAGACAAGUUUUCUUUCCCAGUCCAGGAAAAAUAACGUGUUGGAUUAUAAUCUGCAAACUGUGGAAAGUACCAACAUGAGCAACAAGGGACCAGAGAAUCCCAUCUCAGCUACACUGACUGAGGGCCUGAAGAGAAAGAGGGGGAGACCAAAGAAGCAGCCACAGGAGGAUGCUGGAAACACAGCUGUUAUCCCACAGGAUGCUGUGGAACCACAGCCAGCAAAGAAACCCCGAGGAAGGCCAAAAGGAAGCAAGAGAGUGACUGCUCUAACUGGGGGAAAGGCAGAACCUUCUGCUGGGAAAAGAGGAAGAGGGAGGCCCCGCAAGUGGCCUCAAGCAGUGGUCCAAGAAGGAGAGUCUCAGGGAGGAAAUCCUCAGGAAAGCAGUGACUUGAAUUUGAACUCGGCACCAGCCACACAGGGCAUCACUGGAAAAGAAGGUUCCAGGUCCGGCAAAACCACUGGUCUUAGCAGAUGUCUUAACAUCCCUGCUGCAGCUCAGUAGCAUCCCACCUGUUCAUGUCUUGCUGAAGCCAGAGGACUGGAAAGCAAGCAGGAUUUUUAAUAUUGUAUUUCAGAUUCUUCAUUUGUGAUAAUUUUAGCCAAGCUCUCUCUCCUGUUGCCUGUGGACUUGUUAACCCCAAACAUCCAAACAGGGAUUUAGGGGAAGAAAUGGCAAAUGCCUUGUUGGAGAGAUGCCUUUUACAGUUUGUAGUAUAUCUUUUGAGAUACAUUCAUUUCCCUUUGGAUAACCUGGUGCCUUGCCCUGACACAGAGAGCAGUAUUUUAACAGAAAGGUACUGUUGACUCAGCAAUACAGAUACAGGAAAGGAAAUCUAUUUACACAGCUAAUGGCUGAGCUUGUCUGCCAUUAACACCUCUGGCAGACUGAUGGAGAGUGCCAGGAGUUAAGUUUUGCUCUGUUGCCCAUAAGGACUGCAUCUGAAAGACAGCCUUUGAGUCCUUUCCUGAUUAUUUCAGAAAGAAAAACCUUCAUGGCAUUUCCAGCUUGCCCUGUGCUGCUGUUCCAGUGUUUCUGUGUGAUUUGGUGCUUUAGGGUAAAGUUUGCACCCUGAUGUCUUAGAGAUUGAUUCUGAAAUUUUUGUAUUAACAUGAGCAGCUCAGGGCCUUCUCCUAUAACUUCUUCUGGCCUGGUGGCUCUCCCCUUGAGUUUGAUAGCAGCUCCAAGUGCACAGUGCUUACAAGCUUAGUCACAGCCACUGGAUUUCAUCCCUUCAAAGGAGUGUCUGUAAAGAACCAGUUAUACAAAAGUUGCUUCCUUACAUAGCCUCAGGAUUCAAUUUAAAUUAGUUUAAUUUCAGUCCCUAACACGUGUGUGUGGGGUCCUCUAGUGUCACAACUAUGCAAACAAAAGCUGGUGAUAGUUUAGUUUUGGGAGACAGCAGUAGCCAGUUGGUUUGAGAUUGUUGCUGGCUGCUCUCAGUUUCACAUUGUUAGCAGAUUUGUGCUUUUGGUGUCAGAGCUGAACUUGUUAAAUUCUGAUGAAUUGAGGGUAUUUCCAAUAUCCAGUUGCAAACUGAAAUCCCGGUGGUAUUUUCCAUCUCCUGGAUGUUCUGCCUUGCCUAUUAAGGGACAAAGUGGGUAUUUCAAUUAUCUCUGACAGGAUGUAAAAUUGGCUAGCUUUACAGUGUUAAAUAUUUAAACAGAACAUAAUUGGCUUAAAAUUUAUGGUGUUGCAUAGCAGAAACCCAUGAAAUGGCCAUAUAUAUUGAACUCAUUUAUUAUCUUUUCAUCAGAGUUCUGUUCACUUGGCAGGUAUUUAUUUAACACAAGAAAAUGUAUGUAGAAUUAAGAAGAAAGACUGAUUGGAGAGAUAAUGGAGUGAAAAGUGGGGUUUUUUUCCUUUUGGGUAAUUUUUUCCAGUCCACCUAGUUUAGUACUGAUGAGUCCUGAUCCCAUUAAUUCUGCUAGUAGUGAUGAGAGUCCCAGUCCCAAUUCUGUGGGGUGUCUGGUUUGCCCUAAGGGCACUCUCUUGUAUAUGGAGCUUGGUGGUCGCAGCAGAAAACUGCAUCACAGAUAAUCUUUGUACCCCACUACCAAAUAGCAGAGAAAUCAAGGACUGAAUGGAUUAGAUCACAGGGACUGACCUAAAUCCUGUGCUAUAAGAUGAGCUGUACUGCCAGGUACGGGAAGAGUUUGACCCCCAGCUCCUGCUGUGGGGGUAACUCCAGGUGGGACAUGACACAAGUGAAUCAGUACUGUUGAUGGUUACAUGAGAAGGUGCAGCUGGUGCUCCCCUGAACUCUGCUGCUCUUCAGUGCACACACAAGUUCAGCUGCAGUUCGUGUCUACAUUCAAAGGCCACUCCAGUAGCAAACCAAAAUAUUUUACCAACUUCUGUGCCUGAUUUUCAGUUGAGUUGGCAGGUUCAGUACUCUAGUUGCAAGGCUGUACUGCGUGUUUAAUUAACCCCUGCUACCUGAGAGCAGUAGCUGUUACUGUGUGACACUGGAACUUCAGCUUCUCCUAAAUGGAUUAGGGAUUACAUCUGUAAGAGACUCAAGCUUUUCCUGUGACAUCAGUCAGUCCUUUCUCAGCUGGUGGCCUGGAAUAGGGGUGCAAACUGCCUUGGCUAGAUAGUAAAUCCAUUUGCUUUAGGUCAGCAGUAUUCCUGGGAUGUGCAUAAGAAGUACUUCUCUUAAAAUUAAAAAAAACCAAAACUAGUCUUUGCUACCUCUUAACACUCUCCUGAAAAAACACAGUAGAGAAAUUAUUUCCAUAAAAAUGCAAGUGCUGGAGGAGAACAGAAUUCUACUCUUUCAGGAGCUCUUCUGUGUGUAGUUGAAAUCCCAAUCCAUAACUUCAGCUUCCAUGUUUAUGCAGAGAAUUAGAAUGGAAGUCAGUGCUUGUGAAAGGUGGGCAGAAUUCCAGACAUCUUCAGACAGCUAGGAUCUCACACUGGAUCAAUUGUCUUUUUUGAAAUUAUAAACAUUUUUAUUUCCUAUAUAGUUAAUUACCUUUUCUGUGUAGACAAAUCCUACCUCUUAAGCAAAUGCAUGUCAAGUGUUUUUAAGCUCAGGAAGCUUAGGUCUGACUUGGCCAAAAAUAAGAGGUCGUUACAGUUGUUACAGGAGCUGAACAAGGUUUGUUAUCUAGCAAAGUUUGGAAGUUUCCCAUAAAUGGUUUUGGUGAAGGCAUAGAGAGUGUUGGCAACUUGCAAAUUAGCCUUGAAGUUUGUUUUAAAUAAAGGUAUUCAACAAAAGCCCCUCAGGCUCCUGCUUUGCCUCCUCCUUGUGCAACACCCUCAGCUCACAUACACACAUUGCUGGACAAGGUGAGUGUCUUUUGACCUGGAGUUCUGGGGAUUAUAAACAAAAAUUUGGUCAUUGAGGAGCAGCCCCAGACUGAUGUAAGAAAUAAUAAGCAGGAGGAAUCACACAUGGAGAAAACCAGACAGGCUCCUGAGCCCAAAUGUGGGUGCCUAAUUCCAUCCUUUUGUGUGCCUUGGAGGCUUGAUGGGAACACAGGCCAGUUCUGCUUCAUGUGUACACCCAGCUGUCUCCACAGUCGAGUCUGUUUCUCCCCCACAUUGUUCUGUGGGCUAUACAGCUAUUGAGCUUUUUGUACAAUUAAUUCUCUGCCUGUGCAUUGCCUCUUGUUCAUCUGAAAGUUUUCCUAACAAGUCCCAGGUCUUGGGGCUGUGGGCCAGAUGAGGCAGAAGCAAAUCUGAAAUACAUCACCAAUGUCAUCAUGUUCUGUUCCCCUUGGCCUGGGCAGAGCUGCAGGUAAGCUGAUGAACCCCUGGUUUGUGCAGGAAUUCAGCUUAAGGCUAAACUGGCAUUUCUUUUUGUACUCUGGAUGCCCAGGACUGGCAGCUGGAAGCUCCUGCCCUCCUGACUUCUCCAGCAAGCCUUUCUGAAGAGAUCUGAGUUUCUGUGCUAUAGAACACUAAACUUUGACCCCCACAGAGCUUCCCCUUCCAAGUUUUUCCACACUUAGUUCAGUUUUUGAAAGAGCAGGGGAAUUCACUGCACACAAAUUACCAGCAGAUACUGGGGAUACACUCCAGCAGUUUCUGUGGGGAAAAUGCAGAUGAUGGGGGGAAAAAAGACAAUCACACUAGACUUUCAUGUAAAUAGUUUAAUUAUAUUUCAAUGCUUUAAAACACAGAAACACUUGAAUUAAAUUACAUCAUAAUGCUUCUGCUAAAUUAUACAUAUACUUCCAAGAACUGUGAGAGGAGGUGCUAUGGAACUAAAAGAAUACUCCAGUACGAGCCCAGCAAUUACCCAUAAUAUUCUUUUAAUCUUACUAUCUGUACUUCUUUACUUUAAAGGGCAGUCAUCACAGGACAAAGCCUACCAUCACAGGGAGGAUGGUUCAAGAGAAUUCCUCUGUUGGUGUGUUCAUUGCACAGGAUUUAUCUCAGUAAACCAUGGACCAAGGUGCAGUUUGCACCUGGCCUGGUGGAAUCACUGCUGGGCAGCUCCCACUGCAGCACACAGAGCUGGGAGCAGGGCAUGCAGUGGACUGAGGCAUUGAGGAAACAAUUCAGCUCACACUUGCUUUUUGUUGAGUUUAAAACAAAGAUGAAAGUUCCAAUCCUAAGAGUUCUGCGGAAAAUGCUGCAAUUUAGGAUAGCUGGACCCCCCUGCUGCCACUUGCAUCCCUGUGCUGCUGCAGAGCAUGGAAAGGUGAGAGGCAGUGGAGA
rnacentral:lncRNA from 13 species